GAUAAAUUCCGAGCAUUCUAACCAUAACGGAACGAUAUUCAAAACCUUACUCAGUAGCCCAGCCCCUAAAUUGAUACCCACCAUUUUCGGUUGCUAAAUAAAGUGUUUUCGGUCUCUCUCUCUCUUCUCUCUCUCUCCCUCUUUCUCUCACCCUGAAACAGAGGAAUCAGAGUCACCCAGAGAAGAUUUGAAUGUCCACCCAGCUGCUCUGAAAACGCCGCCCCCCCCUCUCUCUCUCUCCCUCCCCUCAAGACUGGCUCUGCGAAGAGCCAUUGUUUUGCUCUGUCAUUGCUUAGAACAAACUCCCAAAAGAAAGAGCAGAGGAGAACCGUCUCUGAUGAGUGAUUAUGCCCUUGUAAAUCACUCACCACAUUUUAGCUGCCUCUGUUUCCCAGAUUUGUUCCCAAACCGUUUUUUUUUUUUAAUUUAUUCCCAUUCUUGUGUCCUUCUGCUUGUUUCAUUUGAGUUGAAGCUAUGAGUGAAGAAGAUUUUGUGAAGAUCCAGGUGACAUGGAAUUCAAGCAAAACAAGUUUUUUCCUGCUGAAAAUCAAAUGGUAACUGCUAAUCCAGAUAUAAAGGUUGUAUGUAUAUUCUUGGUAAUUUAAAAAAUUGGUAUUUAUAUUAUGUGCUCAUGUGAUAAAGUGCGGAUUCUAAAAUUUACAGUCUCCAAACAUUUUGUAUAGAUACUUUAACAUCUGUUUCUCUG